UGCUGUCCAUGGGGGUCUGCCCA
rnacentral:misc_RNA from 1 species